UUUCAUUCACAUCUCAUUGGCCCACAAUGCCACAGGCUUCCCCUAACUCCAAGAGAGCAGAGAAGAGCAGUCUCCCUGUGUGCCUGGAGGGAGAACCAGAACUGUUGUGAUCUUACCCAAGAAUGAGAGGAUGAAGAGUGACACAGAAAAAUGGAUCUUCACAUAUUUUUCCAUGAGAAGUCUAGAUUACUUGAGACCAGUGAUACUAAUUAGGCUUGGCUGCCUCAGCAGGAUAAAGCAAAUCAACCAAUCUACUUUUGGAAGCAGAAGAUGGGAAAGUGGCUGCUCCUGAGCUCACUGUGC